rnacentral:sRNA from 1 species
UAGACCUCCCACCCUUGUGUAUUAUUACUUUGUUGCUUUGGCGAGCUGCCUUCGGGCCUUGUAUGCUCGCCAGAGAAUACCAAAACUCUUUUUAUUAAUGUCGUCUGAGUACUAUAUAAUAGUUAAAACUUUCAACAACGGAUCUCUUGGUUCUGGCAUCGAUGAAGAACGCAGCGAAAUGCGAUAAGUAAUGUGAAUUGCAGAAUUCAGUGAAUCAUCGAAUCUUUGAACGCACAUUGCGCCCCUUGGUAUUCCGGGGGGCAUGCCUGUUCGAGCGUCAUUUCAACCCUCAAGCUUAGCUUGGUAUUGAGUCUAUGUCAGUAAUGGCAGGCUCUAAAAUCAGUGGCGGCGCCGCUGGGUCCUGAACGUAGUAAUAUCUCUCGUUACAGGUUCUCGGUGUGCUUCUGCCAAAACCCAAAUUUUUCUAUGGCGGCGAGUGAAGCGGUAAAAGCUCAAAUUUGAAAUCUGGCUCUUUUAGAGUCCGAAUUGUAAUUUGUAGAAGAUGCUUCGGGUGUGGUUCCGGUCUAAGUUCCUUGGAACAGGACGUCAUAGAGGGUGAGAAUCCCGUAUGUGACUGGAUACCUAUGCUCAUGUGAAGCUCUUUCGACGAGUCGAGUUGUUUGGGAAUGCAGCUCAAAAUGGGAGGUAUAUUUCUUCUAAAGCUAAAUAUUGGCCAGAGACCGAUAGCGCACAAGUAGAGUGAUCGAAAGAUGAAAAGCACUUUGGAAAGAGAGUUAAACAGUACGUGAAAUUGUUGAAAGGGAAGCGCUUGCAAUCAGACUUGCACUUGGUGUUCAUCAGGGUCUCGUACCCUGUGUACUUCAUCAAGUUCAGGCCAGCAUCAGUUUGAGUGGUUAGAUAAAGGCUUAGAGAAUGUGGCCCUCUUCGGGGGGUGUUAUAGCUCUAGGUGCAAUGUAGCCUACUUGGACUGAGGACCGCGCUUCGGCUAGGAUGCUGGCGUAAUGGUUGUAAGCGACCCGUCUUGAAACACGGACCAAGGAGUGUACCUAAUAUGCGAGUGUUUGGGUGUUAAACCCAUACGCGUAAUGAAAGUGAACGCUGGUGAGAACCCUUNANGGNUGCAUCAUCGACCGAUCUUGAUGUCUUCGGAUGGAUUUGAGUAAGAGCAUA